CAGGUGAAAAGAGACAAACUGGGUGUCUGGCUGACAUGCAGUGGUAGAACAUGUGGCUCACCAGGAAAGUACCAGGCAAUAAAAGAGAGUCAACAAAGAGAUUAGAGUGAAGAAACAGAAAAAGGAUGAAAUUCCAGGAAAAGGAGGAUUUCAAAGGGAAAAAAGUAUCUUCUAUUUCAUGGAGAAAAUAAUUGAAUAUACUUUUCACGUCCACUUGGAAUAUUAAAUGACAGCAAUACAGGAUAUGCUAAUCCUACAUUAAUUUACUGCAUAUGAAAAAUAUAAGGAUUUAUGUGAGAGUGCCGUAUGAAGAAGAAUAGUAUUUCAAGUAUCCUCACAACUCUCAAAUAGACUGUAAGAAAUGCUGAAAAGCUAGACGAAGGGUUCUCUACCUCUGAAAAUUCAUAGACAAACAGAUUAAGAAGAAUAUAACUGGUCGAAAGGCAACUCUCUUGAGAUUAUUCUAAGGUACAGGGUAGAGUGCCCUUCUAAUCUGACUUACUUCCAUCAGCAGGACAUGUGCACUCACCCCAGAGGGAGAGAGAGAAUGAAGAAGCAAGCCAUCAUAUCCAAGACUGAACUGGAUGGCCACGUCGGAGUCCAGUGCCUUAAUGACCAUGCCACCUGUUGG